rnacentral:rRNA from 1 species
AUUGAACGCUGGCGGCAGGCCUAAUACAUGCAAGUCGAGCGAGCGGCGGACGGGUGCGUAAUGUAUGGGAAACUGCCUGAUGGAGGGGGAUCACUACUGGAAACGGCUGCUAAUACCGCAUUCCAUCAGAUUUGCCCAGAGGGGAUUAGCUAGUAGGUGGGGUAACGGCUCACCUAGGCGACGAUCCCUAGCUGGUCUGAGAGGAUGACCAGUCACACUGUGACUGAGACACGGUGCAGACUCCUACGGGAGGCAGCAGUGGGGAAUAUUGCGCAAUGGGCGCAAGCCUGAUGCAGCCAUGCCGCGUGUGUGAAGAAGGCCUUCGGGUUGUAAAGCUCUUUCAGCGGGGAGGCGUUACCCACAGAGGAAGCAACGGCUAACUCCGUGCCAGCAGCCGCGGUAAUAC